rnacentral:rRNA from 1 species
UACAGAGGGGCGAGCGUUGUUCGGAAUUACUGGGCGUAAAGGGCGCGUAGGCGGCCUUCUAAGUCGGACGUGAAAUCCCUCGGCUCAACCGAGAACUGCGUCCGAUACUGGUUGGCUUGAAUUCGGGAGAGGGAUGCGGAAGUUCCAAGGUGUAGCGGUGAAAUGACGUAGAUAUCUGGAGGAACACCGGUGGCGAAGGCGGCAUCCUGGACCGAUAUUGACGCUGAUGCGCGAAAGCCAGGGAGCAACGGG